GGGCUCGUAGCUCAGUUGGUUAGAGCGCUUCAUUGACAUUGAAGAGGUCUCCAGUUCGAAUCUGGACGGGCCCA
rnacentral:tRNA from 1 species